rnacentral:misc_RNA from 1 species
UGGGACUACCUGGAAAAAGAAAGCAGAAGAAUUGAAUAAUGUCCUCUGUAUAAGAGUUUAAUAUUCAAUGUGAAUAUACUGCAAUCAUGCACACAUAAAAAGCUUUAUAAAACCCAAGUGGAAAAUUUUUAGUGAUCUUUUAACAUUUUCAAUGGCUUGAUUAGAUGUGAAUAAAGUCCAAGUAAACUAUCAACAAUGGUGAAGCACUGAAGGUUGUAAUACCACUCGUGCAAAUGAUUAUGCAGGCAAAUAGUUUUUUUAUGAGUCAAGGCAUUCAGACAAAUAUAUGAAAUACAUUUUUUGUCGACAUUUGCGCAAAAAAUCUCAAGCUUUCUUGAACCACGAGUAAAAAGUGCACAACAAAAUAACCCCAGUCCUAUUUGAGCAGCAGCCUGGCCAUCUAACCAUCUCAACUAAAUCUCUUUCUUAACAAACGGCAAUUGUGUGAAUUGAGGUCACCCAACUCCUGAAACAUAAGAAAACAUAA